UACGAAGGGGGCUAGCGUUGCUCGGAAUGACUGGGCGUAAAGGGCGCGUAGGCGGAUGGCACAGUCAGGCGUGAAAGCCCCGGGCUUAACCUGGGAACUGCGUUUGAUACGGAUGGGCUAGAGUUCGGGAGAGGAGAGUGGAAUUCCCAGUGUAGAGGUGAAAUUCGUAGAUAUUGGGAAGAACACCGACGGCGUAGGCAGCGCCCUAGACGAGACCUGACGCUCAGGCACGAAAGCGCGGGGAGCGAACAGG
rnacentral:rRNA from 1 species